rnacentral:rRNA from 1 species
GGACUACCGGGGUAUCUAAUCCCGUUCGCUCCCCUGGCUUUCGUGUCUCAGCGUCAGCAAGUCCCCAGCAGACUGUUUUCACCUUUGGCGUUCCAAGUGAUAUCUACGCAUUUCACCGCUCCACCACUUGUUCCAUCUGCCCCUAGACUGCUCAAGAUCGCCAGUAUGCCCAGCCAUUCCCCGGUUGAGCCGGGGGAUUUCACAAGACACUUAACGACCCGCCUACACACGCUUUAAGCCCAGUGAUUCCGCCUAACGCUCGGCACCUCUGUCUUACCGCGGCUGCUGGCAC